UCACUUGACAGAAUCAAGGGAACAAGAUGUGAUACAAAUGGAUUACGUUCACAAGAAUAGGUAGGAAAAGAACUAUGAUAAGUAGACAAAUUUAAUACCUCAAGAGGAUUCUCAUACGCAUGAUCAUACAUAACAUUAUUAUAUUUCUUUUCACCUCUCCACAACCACUUGUACAACUUACUGGAGUUACCACAAUUUCUCCGUCACUUCUAGUUGACAGCUCCC
rnacentral:lncRNA from 1 species